UACAGAGGUCUCAAGCGUUGUUCGGAUUCAUUGGGCGUAAAGGGUGCGUAGGUGGCGCCGUAAGUCAGGUGUGAAAUUUCGGAGCUUAACUCCGAAACUGCAUUUGAUACUGCGGUGCUUGAGGACUGGAGAGGAGACUGGAAUUCCUGGUGUAGCGGUGAAAUGCGCAGAUAUCAGGAGGAACACCGGUGGCGAAGGCGGGUCUCUGGGCCGAUACUGACGCUGAGGAGCGAAAGCGUGGGGAGCGAACAGG
rnacentral:rRNA from 1 species